rnacentral:rRNA from 1 species
GACGAACGCUGGCGGCGUGCUUAACACAUGCAAGUCGAACGAAAAGGCCCGCUUUUUCUUGUGGAUUCCGUGUCCUCGGAUGGCGAACGGACGCGUAAAACGUGUGUCUUCUACCCCCGACUUAGUUAUAAGCCCGGGAACCUAUGUCUAAUUCCCUAUAGGACCGCAGGGUGGUGUCGGUGAUGGCGGUCGUUUUUCUAGUUGUAGGUGAUGAGCUCGCGGCUUAGCUGCUUGUUGGGGUGGUAAUGUCCUAACGAGGCGACGCCGAGUAGACGACCUGGGAGGGUGAGCGGCCACAGUGGAACUGAGACACGGUCACGACUCCUACGGGAGGCAGCAGUAGGGAAUCGUCCGCAAAGGGCGAAAGCCUGACGGAGCAACGCCGCGUGAGUGAUGAAGGUCUUCGGAUCGUAAAACUGUGUUAUUAGGGAAGAACAAAUGUGUAAGUAACUAUGCACGUCUUGACGGUACCUAAUCAGAAAGCCACGGCUAACUACGUG